AGACAGCAGCAGCCGCGGGAAUACGGAGGGGGCUAGCGUUACUCGGAAUUACUGGGCGUAAAGCGUGCGUAGGUGGUGGUUUAAGUCCGUUGUGAAAGCCCUGGGCUCAACCUGGGAAUUGCAGUGGAUACUGGGUCACUAGAGUGUGGUAGAGGAUAGUGGAAUUUCCGGUGUAGCAGUGAAAUGCGUAGAGAUCGGAAGGAACAUCUGUGGCGAAGGCGACUAUCUGGGCCAACACUGACACUGAGGCACGAAAGCGUGGGGAGCAAACAGGAUUAGAUACCCCGGUAGUCCCUGUCUCUUAUAA
rnacentral:rRNA from 1 species